CUGCAAAGUACGAAAUAACGAUUUUAAUAGGAUAAAAUGUCAUCAGCAUUUUUUGUUGGCUUAUUUGAAAAGUAAAGCCGGUGAGUUAUAUGAUAGCUGGCGAAUUUGUGUGUUGGGGUCAUUUUCUCACGUUGUUCGGUUAGCAAGCACAUGUGUUUUACUCUAAAUGUAAUGGUGUACAUUGACGUGACAUAUUGGGUUUGUUUCAACUGCUAUUCGACAAGCAAGCACGAGGUUAGCAAGCCUGUGUGUUUUUUGUUUAACCUGCUGUCCGGUUAGUAAGCAUUUGGUGUUUUAAUUCACCUGCUUCCUGCUUAGUAAUGUCUGUUUUGUUAGACCUGCUAUUUGGUUAGCAAACGCAUGUGUUUUACUCUGACUAGAAUCCUGUACAUUGACCGUUUUCGCUCUGCUGUUCGAUUAGCAAGCUUGUGUGUUUUACUUCUAUUUUUAUCUGCAGUUUGGUUAGCAGGUAUAUACUUCUACUGACAUUCCUUAAGGGCCAGUGUGUUGGACUAGCAUCAUACAAACCUUAUAGACAUGUCAUUUACGUAACUUGUUGUUGCUAUAGAGUUGGCCAUUAUUUUGUUCACCGGAUUUACUUAAUCAGAGCAGCAUAGACAACAUGUGUACAAUACAAAUGGAAUAAGUCAAGAUGGACAAUGGAUUAUAAAUAUUAAUGAAUGACUUUCAAAAUAGAUGUGCAAAAGCUAAUAAAAAUAACCUUUUCAUGUCAUGUAGGAUGAAUGCUGUUCGAGUAAAGUACAGAGAUGGACAAAAAUACCUGAUUUGAGGGCCAAGUUACCUACGCAUUGUUUUUGGAAAGUGCUUCCAAGAAGUUCAGCAUCCCAGCCUUGGACUUAAGAGUCUUUGAUGACACAAAGACUGAGGUUGAUGAAGAGGUCUUUGAUUUCCUUGUGAAAAAACAAAAACUAGGUGUGCUCGAGAUUUGUCUCGCACAAGGUCCAAAUCCAGAUUGAAGUUUCUUAGUGUCAUUAUUUUUUCUUUUUUAAUGAGCAGGGUAGUAUAGAGUGGAUAGUGAAAGGGAGAAAGAUGAUCAGUACAGUCAGGAAUUGAUCAUUAUCACUGCAUUGGGCAUUGCUAAUAUGGGACGAAUACUAAUUAAGUUGUAUGUGUUCAAAUUCAUUUUAAUGCAUUUCAAGUUUUGUACACAACAGAAGGACCUCAUAUUUUGUUUGUCAACGAUCUUUUCUGUCACAAAGCAUUCGAUUUACAGGUGUCUUGCAGUCAUAAUGACUCCAGUUUUUAUAUUGUGCCAUACUGUUUCCUGUGAACACUUAAUAAAGUAAAGGUGAUCUAU